rnacentral:rRNA from 1 species
GACGAACCGAGCGAACGUUAUUCGGAAUCACUGGGCGUAAAGGGCGCGUAGGCGGCUCGGUAAGUAGGGGGUGAAAUCCUGCGGCUUAACCGCAGGGCUGCCUUCUAAACUGUCGAGCUCGAGCACGGUAGAGGCAGAUGGAAUUCCCGGUGUAGCGGUGGAAUGCGUAGAGAUCGGGAAGAACAUCAGUGGCGAAGGCGGUCUGCUGGGCCGUUGCUGACGCUGAGGCGCGACAGCGUGGGGAGCAAACAGG